rnacentral:lncRNA from 1 species
AUGAGUGUCACUUUAGAGGCAGCUACUUUGUCUGUACAUUUCUGCAAUGAAAUCACAUUUCUUUUCCCACAGCACAGACCGGGCACAGUUUCUGUGGGAUUUGGGAGCUGCAGGGGGAAGAAUGGAUCACAUGGGAGCCUCACCGAGCGGGGAGGAGCGUGCGGUGCGGAAUCAGGUCACCGCCAGAGAGCCGAGCCAGCCACGGCCACCGGCGCUCAGAGCCGAGACAAAGGCAGGGAGCAGCCGGGAAUUCGGCUGCUUUCCCCCCUUCCCUGCCCGUUGAACACGGAAAUUUCGCGCUCCUUUCAUCAGGUGAGCUUUCCUAAUCAAGUAGGAAAUGGCAAUGUGAAAGGGAUGUGUUCAGCUCCCGAGCGCUUUCGAGCACAUCCAUCCUGUCGAGCGUUUCUCAGCCUUUUCUUUGCCCGUUUCUGGCUCUGUUUCUUUGCCCGUUUCUGAGCACAUCCAUCCUCUCAAGCGUUUCUCGGCCUUUUCUUUGCCCGUUUCUGGUUGCAUGGAUCCAGCCCCAGAGAAAUGGAUGCUGGACCCAUUCCCGAGCACCACAUCCAACAGCCCAGGUGGAAUAUCCACCUCUGUCUCAAAUCUGCAUCUCUCUGUCUUUAAUUUGCAUCUCCUGCUCAGACAAAAGGCUGGAGCUGCUGCUGAUCCCUGCUGCCCCACGGGCUGAGGAAUCCUUGGGCUCCUCCAGCCCCAUUCCUGCUCUUUCUCACUCAUUAAUGGCCAGCAAAGCCCCCAGGCAGGGGUAACACCAAAUCUGAGCCCUGUGUGACUUUUAAUACCAUUGUUUAUUCCAUCAGCACACAUUCCCAAAGAGCUGCCAUGGGUUUGGGUUAUUCGGAGGCCAGAAUUCAAGUGUGGAUCCCUAAAUACACACGGAUCUUGUGAAGGAGUGGGCCUGACUUUUAUAGGUGCUAAGCAACUGUUCUGGUGCAUUUCCAUCUGCCUCGAAGUCACAUCCCACCCUCUCCACCUUCCUCAUGUCCACACUCUGAGACAGAAAUGAGCUGUGCAGAGUAGGCUGGCUCCUUCCUCUGCUGCCAGCAGCUUUCUGCCCAAAGGAAACUCCAUCCUGCCCCACAGAAAAUCCAUCCUGGAGCAGGACACCCGAGGGAGGGAGUUGGGAACCAGGGGAAUUGCCCCUGAUGUGUCCUGGGAGGGUGAAAACCCAGGGGAGGGCGAAUGCUGCAGCCAAAAAUGGCUUGAGCAGCCAUGGAACAAGUGGCAGCUGCCUACAGAGGGACUUCCCUUCCUCCUUUCAGCUUGCAGAAAAUGAUCCAGCCUUGGCACUUAGAGGCUGGAACAGUCAAAAUGUUGAUUCUUGGCAACUUCUUAAUGAAGCCUCUGGAUUAGAGAGGAUGUAAAUGAGGAUGUCACACCAGGAAAACAAUCCUCACAUCAGAGAGCACCAAAGGCAAAGCUGAGUCCCUCGGUGGGCACU